GGUUGAUCCUGCCAGUAGUCAUAUGCUUGUCUCAAAGAUUAAGCCAUGCAUGUCUAAGUAUAAACAACUUUAUACUGUGAAACUGCGGACGGCUCAUUAUAUCAGCAAUAAUUUAUUUGAUGGUCACAUUACUACUUGGAUAACCGUAGUAAUUCUAGAGCUAAUACAUGCGCGAAGCCUGAACCUUUGCGGGAACGGGUGUAUUUAUUAGAUAAAAAACCAAUACAUCCCUUUGGGUGGUUGUUUGGUGAUUCAUAAUAACUUUUCGAAUCGCAUAGCCUUGUGCUGGCGAU
rnacentral:rRNA from 1 species